rnacentral:lncRNA from 1 species
CUGAAUCUGCAUACACAAUCAUGAAGUAAUGUACGUAUUCCGACCCAGUGUGUAAUAAUUAUAAAUAAUGACUGAAAGCAAGGAAACACGUAAAAGAACAAGCAAAUUCUAUAUCAAGUAGUAAAAUCACUUAAAGCGGUAAAUCAGUGAAGACGUCAAAUGGAAUUCCUUUAAAGCAAGUAAAAUAGGUAAUCUAGCAAGUAAGUAACAAGUAGGAUUCGCCCCUCGGGCAUAGUAUCAAUCACUCAGCAGUAUCAACCCCUCAAGCUCAAUCUCAG